CACUCAUGAUGAGAUUCCAACUUCUGGUCCGUGUUUCUGAUCAGUGAUUAAAUUGGAAGUCCUGAGCAA